rnacentral:rRNA from 1 species
AGAGUUUGAUCCUGGCUCAGGAUGAACGCUAGCUACAGGCUUAACACAUGCAAGUCGAGGGGCAGCAUUUUAGUUUGCUUGCAAACUGAAGAUGGCGACCGGCGCACGGGUGAGUAACACGUAUCCAACCUGCCGAUAACUCCGGGAUAGCCUUUCGAAAGAAAGAUUAAUACCGGAUGGCAUACGAAUAUCGCAUGAUAUUUUUAUUAAAGAAUUUCGGUUAUCGAUGGGGAUGCGUUCCAUUAGUUUGUUGGCGGGGUAACGGCCCACCAAGACUACGAUGGAUAGGGGUUCUGAGAGGAAGGUCCCCCACAUUGGAACUGAGACACGGUCCAAACUCCUACGGGAGGCAGCAGUGAGGAAUAUUGGUCAAUGGGCGAGAGCCUGAACCAGCCAAGUAGCGUGAAGGAUGAAGGCUCUAUGGGUCGUAAACUUCUUUUAUAUGGGAAUAAAGUAUUCCACGUGUGGAAUUUUGUAUGUACCAUAUGAAUAAGGAUCGGCUAACUCCGUGCCAGCAGCCGCGGUAAUACGGAGGAUCCGAGCGUUAUCCGGAUUUAUUGGGUUUAAAGGGAGCGUAGGUGGAUUGUUAAGUCAGUUGUGAAAGUUUGCGGCUCAACCGUAAAAUUGCAGUUGAAACUGGCAGUCUUGAGUACAGUAGAGGUGGGCGGAAUUCGUGGUGUAGCGGUGAAAUGCUUAGAUAUCACGAAGAACUCCGAUUGCGAAGGCAGCUCACUAGACUGUUACUGACACUGAUGCUCGAAAGUGUGGGUAUCAAACAGGAUUAGAUACCCUGGUAGUCCACACAGUAAACGAUGAAUACUCGCUGUUUGCGAUAUACAGUAAGCGGCCAAGCGAAAGCAUUAAGUAUUCCACCUGGGGAGUACGCCGGCAACGGUGAAACUCAAAGGAAUUGACGGGGGCCC